rnacentral:rRNA from 1 species
UAGGGAAUCUUCGGCAAUGGACGAAAGUCUGACCGAGCAACGCCGCGUGAGUGAAGAAGGUUUUCGGAUCGUAAAACUCUGUUGUUAGAGAAGAACAAGGACGUUAGUAACUGAACGUCCCCUGACGGUAUCUAACCAGAAAGCCACGGCUAACUACGUGCCAGCAGCCGCGGUAAUACGUAGGUGGCAAGCGUUGUCCGGAUUUAUUGGGCGUAAAGCGAUCGCAGGCGGUUUCUUAAGUCUGAUGUGAAAGCCCCCGGCUCAACCGGGGAGGGUCAUUGGAAACUGGGGGACUUGAGUGCAAGAGAGGGGAGUGGAAUUCCAGGUGUAGCGGUGGAAUGCGUAGAUAUAUGGAGGAACACCAGUGGCGAAGGCGGCUCUCUGGUCUGUAACUGACGCUGAGGAUCGAAGGCGUGGGGAGCAAACAGA